UACGUAGGGUGCAAGCGUUGUCCGGAAUUAUUGGGCGUAAAGAGCUCGUAGGCGGUCUGUUGCGUCGGCUGUGAAAACCCGGGGCUCAACUCCGGGCCUGCAGCCGAUACGGGCAGACUAGAGUUCGGCAGGGGAGACUGGAAUUCCUGGUGUAGCGGUGAAAUGCGCAGAUAUCAGGAGGAACAUCGGUGGCGAAGGCGGGUCUCUGGGCAGUAACUGACGCUGAGGAGCGAAAGCGUGGGGAGCGAACAGG
rnacentral:rRNA from 1 species